rnacentral:RNase_P_RNA from 1 species
GAGGAAAGUCCGGGCUCCUUCGGACAGGGCGCCAGGUAACGCCUGGGGGGCGUGAGCCCACGGAAAGUGCCACAGAAAAUAUACCGCCUGCAUCGCAGGUAAGGGUGAAAUGGUGCGGUAAGAGCGCACCGCGCGACUGGCAACAGCUUGCGGCACGGUAAACCCCGCCCGGAGCAAGACCAAAUAGGGGAGUAGGGCGCUGCCCACCGUCGGUUCCGAACGGACUCCCGGGUAGGUUGCUUGAGGUAGCCGGUGACGGCUAUCCCAGAUGAAUGGUUGUCGAUGACAGAACCCGGCUUAC